UACUAGAGUAGCACUCGCAUAUCAAUAAGCGGAGGAAAAGAAACUAACAAGGAUUCCCUUAGUAACGGCGAGUGAAGCGGGAAGAGCUCAAAUUUGAAAUCUUCAAGGUUCUACCUUGACGAAUUGUAGUUUAUAGAAGUGUUUUCUGUUAGUAGAGUGGCAAAAGUUCUUUGGAAUAGGACAUCAUAGAGGGUGAGAAUCCCGUAUUUGGUCAUUCUUUCUAGCUUUGUGAUACACUUUCAACGAGUCGGAUUGUUUGGGAAUGCAGUCCAAAAUGGGUGGUAAAUUUCAUCUAAAGCUAAAUAUUGGCGAGAGACCGAUAGCGAACAAGUACCGUGAGGGAAAGAUGAAAAGAACUUUGAAAAGAGAGUUAAACAGUACGUGAAAUUGUCAAAAGGGAAGCGUUUGACACCAGUGUUGUUUUUCCGAAAAUCAAUUACGAAUGUUUUGUUUUUGAGAAGUUAUGCCUUCAUCGGCUUGCUUCUCUCUUUACGAAACUUUCUUAAUGCACUUUUCGGUUAACAAGUCAACAUCAAUUUCUUUUGUUGUAAAAGGGUACGAGGAAGGUGGCUUUCUUUUCGGAGAAAGUGUUUAUAGCCUUGUACCUCUGCAAUCGGAGAGAUUGAGGUCUGCAGCGUAGAUCCUUCGGGGUUAGAUACAUUUGUGCUAAGUUAUAGCUUUUCAUAGACAACUUGUUGACUAUGUUUAGUCUUGUAGCUUACUCGCUUAUGCUAUUUUACCUACGCUUAGGAUGUUGAUAGUCACAGCGUGUAC
rnacentral:rRNA from 1 species